ACUCAGCAGAUGUUUAGUUAGCUACUACUAGCUGUAGCUCUCAUAGAGAAAUACUACACACUCAGCAGGUGUUUAGUUAGCUACUGCUAGCUGUAGCUCUCAUAGUGAAAUACUACACACUCAGCAGGUGUUUAGUUAGCCACUGCUAGCUGUAGCUCUCA